UAUCUUGAAGAGGGAGCGAGUUAAGCCGCCCGAGGGCGGCGUGGGGAAGUCAGUGCAAUUCUGACGCGGUCCCGCCACUGUGACAGGGAGCGAGCCCACAAAAUACAAGCCACUGGGCGUCAGCCUGGGAAGGCGUGGGCAAGCGAGGAACUGGAGCCAGGAGACCCGCUCGUUCCCCGUGGUGCCA
rnacentral:ncRNA from 2 species